CGACUCUCGGCAACGGAUAUCUCGGCUCUYGCAUCGAUGAAGAACGCAGCGAAAUGCGAUACUUGGUGUGAAUUGCAGAAUCCCGUGAACCAUCGAGUCUUUGAACGCAAGUUGCGCCCGAAGCCGUCCGGCCGAGGGCACGUCUGCCUGGGCGUCACA
rnacentral:rRNA from 1 species